CUUUGCUCAGCCGCAGAGGUGGAGGGACCGUGGGGACUUCGGGCCCUAGGGUCCGCAGAUGACAUGUCAGUCGAUAGGCAUUUAUUUUACUGUUCGAGGAAAACAAAUAAGGGUGCAGCUUAGGCGAAAAGAAAAACGUCUUAUUGCCAGUGACUAAUCUCCUAACAACGACAUGUGUCUCUGAGACUGUGUAUGUGGAUACACGUGUACUUAAAACAGCCCCGCCUGUGUGCAGAGCUCUUGCUGUACGUCAACGCUUUACAGGAGCUAUCGCACUUAAGCCUCAGAACAACUUUAUGAGGCCUAUUUCUAACAGGCUUGUUCAUGUGCAUUCUUAUUCUAUCCUGGAUUGGAAUCAGAAAAUUGGACAGUGUUGCAGGUACUGACUGAUGCAGGCACACCGACAGCCACAAAAGUGAGAACUGAAAGCACUAUAAGAAAUGUUGAAGAAAGUCCUUCAGACAGAAGGGAAAUGAUACCAUUUGGAAAUACAAAUCUACACAAAGGAAUGAUGAGCCCUGGAAAAGGUAACUACAUUGGUAAAUGUGAUUGGUUCCUGGAAGUGGAACUACUGUGUCAAAGGUUUGGACAUUUUUAAGACUCCAGAAAAGAUUAGGUCAUAACAAGUUAUACAGCUUCACCUGGCUCUCAGUCUUGGGACCCUUGGAACCCAACAACCCUGUUGUGAGAAAGCCCAGACCACAAGGAGAAGCCAUGUGUAGGUGUUCUGGCUGAUAGCCCCAGCUGAGGUCCCAGCCAUCAGUCAGUACUAAUCGCUAGACAUGCAAGUGAACAAGCCUUCAGAUGAUGCAAGCCUCCAGCCUAUGAGCUGCCCCAGCUGACGCCAAGUGAAUUAGAAACAAGCUGUCCCUGCAGAGCCCUACCCAAACUGCAUAUUCAUAAGUAAAGUAAUGUUGUUGUUAUUGUGAACCACUAAGUGCUGGGGUGGUUUGUUAUGUACUGAGUCCCUAGCUUAAGUUAGCUGUAACAAGUAGGAGGGAGAUGGAGGAAGCAAAAGAAAACCCUUUCCCUCCACUUUUCCUUGUUUCCUUAGCCAGACUGAGAUUUUAGCACCUCCUAGUACUAAAGAUUAAGUGUGGUUUUGAAGUGCCAUAGAAACAAAAACACCAUCUUGGGGACCCAGUCUAUCCAGACCCCUUUUCUUUGAAGGCUUAGUGGCUGAGCAGGGAAAAGAGAAAGCUUGAUUCCCUCCCUUUCUCCUUUUCUUCUCCCCUGGGUAUCCCUAGUUUCAAAAAAGAGGGGAAAGCAAGAUUUAAUCCUCUCCUGUCCUCAUCUCCCUUCUGAAUUCAAAUCUUUGGAAAGAUGCUUUCUUUGUCACUGAAGCCUCUUCAUUCUUAUACAGGGACCAAACCAGCAACAAUGCUUUCAUGCCUUAUCAAGGAAGCAGGAUCUACUAAUCAAAAUUAUAUACCAGGGACACCACUUUGUCUUUAGUCACUCAUUACUGUCCUUCAGAGGUUCCUCCUGCUCCUCCUCUUCCCCUAAAUGGUGUUCCCCAGGGCUCCCUUCUCAGACCUCUUCUCACUUGACAUACUUUCUGGUCCAUCUUAUUCACUCUUCACCUACAUUUUAAUGACUCUAGAGAACCAGAGCUUACUUCCAACCCUCCUGGGAUAGAUUCCUGAUACCUCAAAUUCCAGAGGGACAAAACAGAGUUCCUCCUCCUGGACCUGAGGCCCACGCCUCCACCCAGUCCACACCCUAGACCAGAAACCUGGGGAUCCCUUGCCCUUACUCCAUACAGCCAGUUUCCCAUUCCACCCACUCUUUUAAAUUAUUUUCCUUGAAUCCCUCUUCUCUGUAUCCCCACUGCCACUAGGUACACAGCAGUGGUCCUCGUGGAUUCUUACCUAGCUCACAGGCUGUUUUAUAGUCCAUCUUCAAGUCUCCAGGACCCAACCAGUGUCAUCAUUUCAAAGACCUGUAAUCAUUUCACACCUGAGCAUGCAUUUCCAUUAAAAAAAAAUCCUUUCAUGGUUCUCCUUUUCUAUAGGUUUUAAUCCUGAAGUCCAAUAGUCAUUUACUCACAAAGCAGAGUAAACCCCCCCCCCCCGGAAAGAGUAUUUUAGUAUAGAUCUAUAGGUGUAUUUUUCUGAAAAGAGACCACACUGCUUUACAUAGGUUCUCAAAGGGGUAUGUGCCCCCAAAAAGGCUAAAACUUGUAGGUCUCAGGCUAAAGUCCAGACUCUUCAGCAUGGAAAAGAAAGCCCUGCAUGACCUGGUCAUUCAUCCGGCUUCCUUUCUCAUCCCCCCCUUUGCUCCCCUCACCUCCCACCCAUACUUAUCAGGCUGUGGUUCUCCACUACAGGCCUUUGCACAUGUUGCCUUGCUUGCUCAUCUUGGGAUGCCCCUUCCUUUCUUCUUAGCUGGCCUAACUUUUGCCAUCCAGGAAACUACCUUCUUUCUUUCAAGAAACACCUCAAGUCAUGCUAUCUACAGAAGGCUGUGCAGGCUAAGCAAAGUGUUAACUCUUGCCUCCCUGAAGCCAGCCUAGCAAUUGCUCUUUCUCUUAGCAUCUGCCUCCUAGAUUUCCAAGCUUGGG